CAACCUCCAUAUCCUGUCGUAGUGCAGCAUUCUCCACUUCAAGCCUCCGAACAGCAGAGUUAGCAAGUUCAACCUGCCCACCAGCCUUGCACAAUGCAUGUUCCAUCUCAGAAAGUUUCUUCAUUGUAUUUUCCUCCAGAGUCUGCUUCUCCUUUUUCAGCCGUUCAACUUCCUCUUUUUCUUGCUUCAAAGUCUUCAGUUCAGCCUUGUCCUUACUUAGCCUCCUUGCAGCCUGCAUGACCUUAUG
rnacentral:misc_RNA from 1 species